GCAUGCAUCCUGCCAGUCUAGAACAGCUGUGUGUGCUUUCAAGUAUACACUCGGAGGCCAUUUCGAAUAGGUACACCUGCUCGUUAACACAAAUAGCCUGCUCCUCUGAGUGAACCGUGUGUCUGCAUCAGAACACGUACAGCAAACAGACACUUACAGACGGGGACAAGAGGUUCACUUACUGUGUGGCUAAGCAUCGGAACGGCUAAUAGGAAGCCCGUAAGUGCGAAAGGAACAGCUCAGUCCAACAGCUGUGUGCAAAAAGUAUCUCCAAAGGCACGGCUCAUCAACCUUUGAAGCAGUUCUGGAAGCAAAAGGAGCGGCGAAGCUUAGUCUCCUUAAGUUACACGGCCUCAGAUGUGAGGAAAUGCCGGGGAAACCUUUCGUCUAUUAUGGGAUUUUACCCCAAGGUCCAAGGCCGACAGCAACCCUGAACUGAUGGACUGCUAAUGAAAGCCAUUCGAGGCAAACAACUCAUUAAACCAUUAAUCCAUCAUUCAAUUUCCCAAAUUUAAAAGUAAAUAAUAAUAAAAGUGACCUACUUUUGACCCCUACAAUUCCCAGUCAUACAAUGUGGAGACAUCCAACACAGUGCAUUUCUUAUUAAGCGUAAAAUCCCCUGAAAUUUCCACCUCCUGAGUGAAACAGCCACCUGUUGAGUAAAUGCUGUGUGUUACCGUAUAGUACAAUGUCAGUCUUGAGGGUUAAGGAGGGAAUGCAGACAGAUGGGAUCUUCUUACUAUUGUGUGACAUACAUAAAGACAGUUCUAUACUUUGUUGUUUAUUUAACAGUUUUGCAUCAAACGCCUCAUAAACUGGCUGAAAAAUAUGCCGAUACGAUCCCACAGUUGGCAAUAAAAAGGGGACUUGCUUCUUCGACCAAAUCUGCCUACGGUGUCCAGCCUCUGCUGAAACUUUUACAGAAGAUAAACCGUGAAAAGACAGAAGUUCAAAGUGCUGAAUGGUUUCCCACCUAGAAUUCGGGACAAAUGGACGUAGUUAGGCGGCCGUGGGGCUGCUGGCUCUUGUCACUCUUAUCUGCACCGCUAACGGUCACCCGGCACCCAGGCGGGAAGCGGCUGUCUGUCAACAUAAGGAGCGAGUCAUCAUCCAAUUAGAGAGGCUCAUCUCUCUCCCCCUUGUCCCGUCCCCAUCCCUGUCCCUCGGAUGCACAAAGCUGCUUCGCUGUACAAUACUCAGAAGAGACAGUAAACCCCCCCAGCUCUCACACACUUUCAUGCAGGUUUAGCAAUAGCCCAACCCUGUGGCAAAACGCUGGCUAUAAGAGGGUAGGGGCCCCAAGACGAUCUAUGGUGGGAGGGGGACCUGGGGGGAGGUGAAGAGGAGGGGGGCACUGAGGUGGAAUGUCACUCUUUAAUGACCCACCCACUGAAGAGGAAGGCCUGCACAGAAUCCAGCCUUGUGAAAGAACAGGCUUGGUUGUUAGUGAAAGAUCACACCAUAAUGGCUGCUUCCUGAUGUAUGCGUCCUGCCGACAUGGGGUCAACCCCAAGGCUCUUUGAAGUGACAGGAGAUCUUAGUGGUCACUGCAGCACCAGCGGAAGGACCCCAGUACAGGCCCCAUGUGUCGGUAAAGGCUUCACUCAAUAGCUAUAAGACUACUGACAGCUUAUUGCUGGUGUUCUUGUUUGUGGCCUUUUAAUAAGAUCUUUAAGAUUUACCAGUCAUCCCGCCACAAUGUAACCAUAUAAUACCAAGCAAGCAGGUAAAAAAGUUGCAGAUUGUUAUUAUUGUCGUUCUUGUUGUUUGCUGAGCAAACUAACAGCAACAUUUUCAUCUAAUCUAAUGGCUGCAGCUUUAGCUCAGCUAAAGUACCUUACUCUAGCAAAUGUAAACACAACAUCUGAACCAGGAAAAGUACAGUGGCUCAGUUUCCAGCUGUUAAACAUUAGUCGUACUAUUGAAUUUAAGAUAAAAGAUUAAGAUAAA